rnacentral:rRNA from 1 species
GAUGAACGCUGGCGGCGUGCUUAACACAUGCAAGUCGAACGAAACACCUUAUUUGAUUUUCUUCGGAACUGAAGAUUUGGUGAUUGAGUGGCGGACGGGUGAGUAACGCGUGGGUAACCUGCCCUGUACAGGGGGAUAACAGUCAGAAAUGACUGCUAAUACCGCAUAAGACCACAGCACCGCAUGGUGCAGGGGUAAAAACUCCGGUGGUACAGGAUGGACCCGCGUCUGAUUAGCUGGUUGGUGAGGUAACGGCUCACCAAGGCGACGAUCAGUAGCCGGCUUGAGAGAGUGAACGGCCACAUUGGGACUGAGACACGGCCCAAACUCCUACGGGAGGCAGCAGUGGGGAAUAUUGCACAAUGGGGGGAACCCUGAUGCAGCGACGCCGCGUGAGUGAAGAAGUAUCUCGGUAUGUAAAGCUCUAUCAGCAGGGAAGAAAAUGACGGUACCUGACUAAGAAGCCC